AUUUUUAUUGCAAGGAACCAGCAGGAAUCAUCUGGUUUGGAUCGUCACGAAAAUGGAGGAAGCUGCUUCUGAAAUGCGCCCCCUUGUGGAGUGUAACAGAAAGAGCACUGAGAGUGUCCUGAUGAAGAGAGCAGACUCCCCUGUACCCAG